ACAACAGGGAUUGCCCUAGUAACGGCGAGUGAAGCGGCAACAGCUCAAAUUUGAAAUCUGGCCCUUUCAGGGUCCGAGUUGUAAUUUGUAGAGGGUGCUUUGGCGUUGGCUGUGGUCUAAGUUCCUUGGAACAGGACGUCGCAGAGGGUGAGAAUCCCGUAUGUGGCCGCCAGUCUUCGCCGUGUAAAGCCCCUUCGACGAGUCGAGUUGUUUGGGAAUGCAGCUCUAAAUGGGAGGUAAAUUUCUUCUAAAGCUAAAUAUUGGCCAGAGACCGAUAGCGCACAAGUAGAGUGAUCGAAAGAUGAAAAGCACUUUGGAAAGAGAGUCAAAAAGCACGUGAAAUUGUUGAAAGGGAAGCGCUUGCAGCCAGACUUGCCUGUAGUUGCUCAUCCGGCCUCUUGGCCGGUGCACUCUUCUACGGGCAGGCCAGCAUCAGUCCUGGCGGUCGGAUAAAUGCCCGCUGAAUGUACCACUCCUCGGGGUGGACUUAUAGCGGCGGGCGGCAUACGACCAGCCGGGAUUGAGGUCCGCGCAUCUGCUAGGAUGCUGGCGUAAUGGCUGUAAGCGGCCCGUCUUGAAACACGGACCAAGGAGUCUAACAUCUAUGCGAGUGUUUGGGUGUCAAGCCCGAGCGCGUAAUGAAAGUGAACGGAGGUGGGAACCCCUCGGGGCGCACCAUCGACCGAUCCUGAUGUCUUCUGAUGGAUUUGAGUAAGAGCAUAGCUGUUGGGACCCGAAAGAUGGUGAACUAUGCCUGAAUAGGGUGAAGCCAGAGGAAACUCUGGUGGAGGCUCGCAGCGGUUCUGACGUGCAGAUCGAUCGUCAAUUUGUGCAUAGGGGCGAGAGACUAAUCGAACUAUCUAGUAGCUGGUGCCUGCCGGAGGUUU
rnacentral:rRNA from 1 species